GGGUCCUUAGCUCAACUAGAGCAUUUGACUGCAGCUAAAGAGGUCACUAGUUCGAACCUGGUAAGACCAU
rnacentral:tRNA from 1 species